rnacentral:tRNA from 1 species
GGUGGUAUAGCUCAGUUGGUGAGCACAUGCUUAGCAUGCACAAGGUCCUGACUUCAAUCCCGGUACCAAUCCUGGUACCUCCA